rnacentral:rRNA from 1 species
AGAGUUUGAUCAUGGCUCAGAUUGAACGCUGGCGGCAGGCUUUACACAUGCAAGUCGAACGGUAACAGGGAGAAAGCUUGCUUUCUUUGCUGACGAGUGGCGGACGGGUGAGUAAUGCUUGGGAAUCUGGCUUAUGGAGGGGGAUAACUACGGGAAACUGUAGCUAAUACCGCGUAAUAUCUUCGGAUUAAAGGGUGGGACCGUAAGGCCACCUGCCAUAAGAUGAGCCCAAGUGGGAUUAGGUAGUUGGUGGGGUAAAGGCCUACCAAGCCGACGAUCUCUAGCUGGUCUGAGAGGAUGACCAGCCACACUGGAACUGAGACACGGUCCAGACUCCUACGGGAGGCAGCAGUGGGGAAUAUUGCACAAUGGGGGGAACCCUGAUGCAGCCAUGCCGCGUGAAUGAAGAAGGCCUUCGGGUUGUAAAGUUCUUUCGGUGAUGAGGAAGGCGGUUGUUUUAAUAGAACAAUCGAUUGACGUUAGUCACAGAAGAAGCACCGGCUAACUCCGUGCCAGCAGCCGCGGUAAUACGGAGGGUGCGAGCGUUAAUCGGAAUGACUGGGCGUAAAGGGCGCGCAGGCGGUGACUUAAGUGAGAUGUGAAAGCCCCGGGCUUAACCUGGGAAUUGCAUUUCAUACUGGGUUGCUAGAGUAUUUUAGGGAGGGGUAGAAUUCCACGUGUAGCGGUGAAAUGCGUAGAGAUGUGGAGGAAUACCGAAGGCGAAGGCAGCCCCUUGGGAAUAUACUGACGCUCAUGUGCGAAAGCGUGGGGAGCAAACAGGAUUAGAUACCCUGGUAGUCCACGCUGUAAACGCUGUCGAUUUGGGGAUUGGGCUUUGAGCUUGGUGCCUCGUAGCU